AAGUCUGGUGCCAGCAGCCGCGGUAAUUCCAGCUCCAAUAGCGUAUAUUAUAAAUUGUUGCGUCUAAAAAGCUCGUAGUUUGAAAACUUGCCUUGGCUUACAAUCGGCUCAUUCGAGCCACCGUUUGUCGAGUGCAAAUAUGGAUGACUGUUUCUGCCGACUUCAUUGUUUGGCUUACAAGAGUUAUCAAAUAUCACUUUGAUUAAAUUAGAGUGCUUAAAGCAAGUGUGUUACUUGGAUAUAAAUGCAUGGAAUGAUGGAAUAUGUUGUUGUUCUAUUUGUUGGUUUUUGAACGAUGAAAUGAUUGAAAGGAACUGUUGGGGGCAUUCGUAUUGUUGUGAGAGAGGUGAAAUUCUUAGACCACAGCAAGACGAACUACUGCGAAAGCAUUUGCCAAGAAUGUUUUCAUUGAUCAAGAACGAAAGUUAGAGGUUCGAAGGCGAUCAGAUACUGCCCUAGUUCUAACCAUAA
rnacentral:rRNA from 1 species